GGCGGCAUGCUUUACACAUGCAAGUCGAACGGCAGCGCGGGGCAACCUGGCGGCGAGUGGCGAACGGGUGAGUAAUAUAUCGGAACGUACCCAGGAGUGGGGGAUAACGUAGCGAAAGUUACGCUAAUACCGCAUACGAUCUAUGGAUGAAAGUGGGGGAUCGCAAGACCUCAUGCUCAUGGAGCGGCCGAUAUCUGAUUAGCUAGUUGGUGGGGUAAAGGCUCACCAAGGCGACGAUCAGUAGCUGGUCUGAGAGGACGACCAGCCACACUGGAACUGAGACACGGUCCAGACUCCUACGGGAGGCAGCAGUGGGGAAUUUUGGACAAUGGGCGCAAGCCUGAUCCAGCAAUGCCGCGUGAGUGAAGAAGGCCUUCGGGUUGUAAAGCUCUUUUGUCAGGGAAGAAACGGCGGAGGCUAAUAUCCUCUGCUAAUGACGGUACCUGAAGAAUAAGCACCGGCUAACUACGUGCCAGCAGCCGCGGUAAUACGUAGGGUGCAAGCGUUAAUCGGAAUUACUGGGCGUAAAGCGUGCGCAGGCGGUUUUGUAAGUCUGACGUGAAAGCCCCGGGCUCAACCUGGGAAUUGCGUUGGAGACUGCAAGGCUUGAAUCUGGCAGAGGGGGGUAGAAUUCCACGUGUAGCAGUGAAAUGCGUAGAGAUGUGGAGGAACACCGAUGGCGAAGGCAGCCCCCUGGGUCAAGAUUGACGCUCAUGCACGAAAGCGUGGGGAGCAAACAGGAUUGGAUACCCUGGUAGUCCACGCCCUAAACGAUGUCUACUAGUUGUCGGGUCUUAAUUGACUUGGUAACGCAGCUAACG
rnacentral:rRNA from 1 species